rnacentral:ribozyme from 13 species
UUUUUUUUUUUUUUUUUUUUUUUUUUUUUUUUUUUCCUU